rnacentral:misc_RNA from 1 species
AAAGUCGUAACAAGGUCUCCGUAGGUGAACCUGCGGAGGGAUCAUUAAUCGUAACUCCUCCCGCCCUCCGGGGCGGUGGCAGGAUGCAACGAAACCCACUGUUGUCCGACCGCGUUGCCUCGGGGGCGGCCCUGCCUCGUGCCGGGCCCCCCCGGUGGACCAAACCAAACUCUUGCGUAACCUUUGCAGUCUGAGUGAUUUAUUAAAUGAAUCAAAACUUUCAACAACGGAUCUCUUGGUUCUG